UACGUAGGGUGCAAGCGUUGUCCGGAAUUAUUGGGCGUAAAGAGCUCGUAGGCGGUCUGUCGCGUCGGCUGUGAAAGUCAAAGGCUCAACCUUUGAAAGCCGGUGGAUACUGUGGGGCUAGAGUACGGAAGAGGCGAGUGGAAUUCCUGGUGUAGCGGUGGAAUGCGCAGAUAUCAGGAGGAACACCAAUAGCGAAGGCAGCUCGCUGGGACGUCACUGACGCUGAGGCGCGAAAGCGUGGGGAGCGAACAGG
rnacentral:rRNA from 1 species